rnacentral:rRNA from 1 species
UACGUAGGUGGCAAGCGUUAUCCGGAUUUACUGGGUGUAAAGGGCGUGUAGGCGGGACUGCAAGUCAGAUGUGAAAACUCAGGGCUCAACCCCCGAACUGCAUUUGAAACUGUAGUUCUUGAGUGUUGGAGAGGCAGGCGGAAUUCCGUGUGUAGCGGUGAAAUGCGUAGAUAUACGGAGGAACACCAGUGGCGAAGGCGGCCUGCUGGACAAUAACUGACGCUGAGGCGCGAAAGCGUGGGGAGCAA